rfam:Vittaforma corneae ATCC 50505 unplaced genomic scaffold supercont1.16, whole genome shotgun sequence.
GGCGCUAUAGCUCAGUGGUAGAGCGUUUGCCUUGUAAGCAAAAGGUCUCGGGUUCGAUCCCCGGUCGCGCCU